UACGUAGGUCCCGAGCGUUGUCCGGAUUUAUUGGGCGUAAAGCGAGCGCAGGUAGUUUAUUAAGUCUGGUGUAAAAGGCAGUGGCUCAACCAUUGUAUGCAUUGGAAACUGGUAGACUUGAGUGCAGGAGAGGAGAGUGGAAUUCCAUGUGUAGCGGUGAAAUGCGUAGAUAUAUGGAGGAACACCGGUGGCGAAAGCGGCUCUCUGGCCUGUAACUGACACUGAGGCUCGAAAGCGUGAGGAGCAAACAGG
rnacentral:rRNA from 1 species